GUCUUUAUCAUUCACUUUCAUUUUCCACCCAAACCUCCAGAGUGCCUGAAAGCAAUCCUUGCAGGAACCUUGAUAUCUAUCAAUUCUGGCUGUUGCUGCCCGAAGCAGCUUCAAGAAAGAUGAUGCUUGAUGCCACCCUCUCUACAAGUCACUGAAGGGAGAGAAAGACUGGGAAGAAGUCAACUUGAGAGAAGCUGGAGUUCUCUAUCAUAUUCCUAUUCAAAACUUGUUAGAUAGAAUGGAGACUUCAAGGAAUUUCCCUUUGGGUGAGAUCUGGGAUUCACUCAUUUGGUUGAGCUGAGUAGCCAGCUCCUAAUAGGACAGUAACUUCAAUAUUUAUUGACUGCUAUUUAUUAUCAUAGAUAUAUGCUUUCUUUGAUUUCUCUUUUGCCAUUGGUUUGAAUAAAUGUUUUCUAUGCUAUUUA